GGGACCUGCAGGGCGAACCCUGCUCCUUUUGCCUCCGCCACCUGCUUCCUCCCUGCCAAGAUGCGUCCGUACAGAGUAGCAGCAGAGCCGGAGUCACACGCUCUCUCUCUUUCUCUAAGUUCCUUCUUGGAGUGUGGGAGCUCCGAUGGGCAUGAAGAGAACCCAACCUGAUUAACUUGCUGUUGCUUGCUGAGAAAACCCUGUUUACAUAGAACCAGCUUAUUGGCUCCAAGUGAUUAUUAGUAGGCAAGAAGCGAAGGAGAGAAGAGGACUCAAGACGUCACUUUCUUACACCUGAGAGUGCCGGGUUAGGGGCUCCAAUCUGUGACGUGUCAAACAUGCAAGACUGCCCCCCACCUCGACCCUGCUGAUGUCUGGCUGCCUGUGCGUGCAGGUGGGCACGCUGGGAUUCUCCCAGAUGACGGUCUCCAGCCUCGACAGAAUCCUUUAUGCAAGAGGGAGGCCCCUGCCCGGGUGCUGAUGCAUUUCUGCCGGGAUCGAUGCUCUGGAGCCUACAUAUGUUGGAACCAUUUUCUCGUCCCCUUCAGUGCUGAGAGAUGAGGGUUGAGUGCGUGUCUCAGAAAGCGACCUUGUGACCCACAGUGAACACUAUCGCUCGAACAGAAGCAGGGUUGCCCUUGGUCCGUGGAGGAAGAAGACCAGUGAAUGUGCUGGGUCAAUCCUGAGACUCACA